rnacentral:rRNA from 1 species
GACGAACGCUGGCGGCGUGCUUAACACAUGCAAGUCGAACGGAAAGUUCCGGCUUUUGGGCGGUGGUCGAGUGGCGGAGGGGUGAGUAACACGUGGGUAACCUGUACCUGACUGUGGGAUAUCUUAAGGAAACUGGGGCUCAUACCGCAUAGGAUCUCUUGCUUCUGGGUGGGCGUUGGUUAGUUUCGGUGGUUGGGGAUGGACUAGCGGCUUAUCAGCUUGAUCGGUGGGUAGUGGAUGACCAAGGCUAUGACGGGUAGCCGGCCUGAGAGGGUGACCGGCCACACUAGGCCUGAGCUACGGCACAGCCUCGAAUCCUACGCAACGGUGGGGAGUAUUACACAGUGGGCUGGAGGCAGACGUGACCCCGCCGCGUGCGGUAAGACGUGAUUGGGGUUGUGAACUACUGUCGUUUUAGCCGAGGCGUUAGUGACGGUACCGGGUAAAUAAGCACCGGCUAACUACGUG